rnacentral:piRNA from 1 species
AGCAGCAAAUACACCCAGGAGGAGUAGAA